rnacentral:rRNA from 1 species
UUCACCUACGGGGGGCAGCAGUGGGGAAUAUUGGACAAUGGGGGGAACCCUGAUCCAGCGACGCCGCGUGAGUGAAGAAGUAUUUCGGUAUGUAAAGCUCUAUCAGCAGGGAAGAAAAUGACGGUACCUGACCAAGAAGCCCCGGCUAACUACGUGCCAGCAGCCGCGGUAAUACGUAGGGGGCAAGCGUUAUCCGGAUUUACUGGGUGUAAAGGGAGCGUAGACGGCCGU